rnacentral:rRNA from 1 species
UUACGGGAGGCAGCAGUAGGGAAUCUUCGGCAAUGGGCGAAAGCCUGACCGAGCAACGCCGCGUGAAUGAUGAAGGCCUUCGGGUUGUAAAAUUCUGUUAUAAGGGAAGAACGACUUUAGUAGGAAAUGGCUAGAGUGUGACGGUACCUUAUGAGAAAGCCACGGCUAACUACGUGCCAGCAGCCGCGGUAAUACGUAGGUGGCGAGCGUUAUCCGGAAUUAUUGGGCGUAAAGAGCGCGCAGGUGGUUGAUUAAGUCUGAUGUGAAAGCCCACGGCUUAACCGUGGAGGGUCAUUGGAAACUGGUCGACUUGAGUGCAGAAGAGGGAAGUGGAAUUCCAUGUGUAGCGGUGAAAUGCGUAGAGAUAUGGAGGAACACCAGUGGCGAAGGCGGCUUCCUGGUCUGUAACUGACACUGAGGCGCGAAAGCGUGGGGAGCAAACAGGAUUAGAUACCCUGGUAGUCG